rnacentral:misc_RNA from 1 species
GUGAAUCAUCAAAUUUUUGAACGCAAAUUGCACUCUCUUCGUAGAGUAUGCCUGUUUGAGGGUCAGCCUAAAAAAAAAUCGACAUAUUCGCUUUUUCGCGGUGACAUCCGUCUGAAAUUGGGUCAUCUUAAACCUUUUGGUUCUAAGCGGCUUAAAAUUUUCUUUACGAUGCCACGAACGUUUCUAAGAUUUACUUCUUACACGGUUAAGGUAAGCUAUCUUUAUUAGACCUGACCGUUGCAUCGGAUCGCGUCCAUAAAUAUUUCGUUAACUUACCUCAUACAGCUAAGAACACC